UGCAAGUCGAACGAUGAUGCCCAGCUUGCUGGGUGGAUUAGUGGCGAACGGGUGAGUAACACGUGAGUAACCUGCCCCUGACUCUGGGAUAAGCGUUGGAAACGACGUCUAAUACUGGAUAUGACCGCCGAUCGCAUGGUCUGGUGGUGGAAAGAUUUUUUGGUUGGGGAUGGACUCGCGGCCUAUCAGCUUGUUGGUGAGGUAAUGCUCACCAAGGCGACGACGGGUAGCCGGCCUGAGAGGGUGACCGGCCACACUGGGACUGAGACACGGCCCAGACUCCUACGGGAGGCAGCAGUGGGGAAUAUUGCACAAUGGGCGAAAGCCUGAUGCAGCAACGCCGCGUGAGGGAUGACGGCCUUCGGGUUGUAAACCUCUUUUAGUAGGGAAGAAGCGUAAGUGACGGUACCUGCAGAAAAAGCACCGGCUAACUACGUGCCAGCAGCCGCGGUAAUACGUAGGGUGCAAGCGUUGUCCGGAAUUAUUGGGCGUAAAGAGCUCGUAGGCGGUUUGUCGCGUCUGCUGUGAAAUCCCGAGGCUCAACCUCGGGCUUGCAGUGGGUACGGGCAGACUAGAGUGCGGUAGGGGAGAUUGGAAUUCCUGGUGUAGCGGUGGAAUGCGCAGAUAUCAGGAGGAACACCGAUGGCGAAGGCAGAUCUCUGGGCCGUAACUGACGCUGAGGAGCGAAAGCGUGGGGAGCGAACAGGAUUAGAUACCCUGGUAGUCCACGCCGUAAACGUUGGGCGCUAGAUGUAGGGACCUUUCCACGGUUUCUGUGUCGUAGCUAACGCAUUAAGCGCCCCGCCUGGGGAGUACGGCCGCAAGGCUAAAACUCAAAGGAAUUGACGGGGGCCCGCACAAGCGGCGGAGCAUGCGGAUUAAUUCGAUGCAACGCGAAGAACCUUACCAAGGCUUGACAUACACCGGAAACGGCCAGAGAUGGUUGCCCCCUUGUGGUCGGUGUACAGGUGGUGCAUGGUUGUCGUCAGCUCGUGUCGUGAGAUGUUGGGUUAAGUCCCGCAACGAGCGCAACCCUCGUUCUAUGUUGCCAGCGCGUUAUGGCGGGGACUCAUAGGAGACUGCCGGGGUCAACUCGGAGGAAGGUGGGGAUGACGUCAAAUCAUCAUGCCCCUUAUGUCUUGGGCUUCACGCAUGCUACAAUGGCCGGUACAAAGGGCUGCGAUACCGUAAGGUGGAGCGAAUCCCAAAAAGCCGGUCUCAGUUCGGAUUGAGGUCUGCAACUCGACCUCAUGAAGUCGGAGUCGCUAGUAAUCGCAGAUCAGCAACGCUGCGGUGAAUACGUUCCCGGGCCUUGUACACACCGCCCGUCAAGUCAUGAAAGUCGGUAACACCCGAAGCCGGUGGCCUAACCCUUG
rnacentral:rRNA from 1 species